rnacentral:misc_RNA from 1 species
UCCGGUUUGUCACCGGCAGUCUCCUUAGAGUUCCCGCCAUCACGCGCUGGCAACUAAGGACAAGGGUUGCGCUCGUUACGGGACUUAACCCAACAUUUCACAACACGAGCUGACGACAGCCAUGCAGCACCUGUCACUCGGCUCCCGAAGGCACUCCCGCAUCUCUGCAGGAUUCCGAGGAUGUCAAGGGGUGGUAAGGUUUUUCGCGUUGCAUCGAAUUAAACCACAUGCUCCACCGCUUGUGCGGGCCCCCGUCAAUUCAUUUGAGUUUUAACCUUGCGGCCGUACUCCCCAGGCGGUCUACUUAAUGCGUUAGCUGCGCCACAAGAGAUACAAGAUCCCCAACGGCUAGUAGACAGCGUUUACAGCGUGGACUAC